AUUGAACGCUGGCGGCAGGCCUAACACAUGCAAGUCGGACGGUAGCACAGAGAGCUUGCUCUUGGGUGACGAGUGGCGGACGGGUGAGUAAUGUCUAGGGAUCUGCCCGAUAGAGGGGGGUAACCACUGGAAACGGUGGCUAAUACCGCAUAACGUCGCAAGACCAAAGAGGGGGACCUUCGGGCCUCUCACUAUCGGAUGAACCCAGAUGGGAUUAGCUAGUAGGCGGGGUAAUGGCCCACCUAGGCGACGAUCCCUAGCUGGUCUGAGAGGAUGACCAGCCACACGGGAACUGGAACACGGUCCAGACUCCUACGGGAGGCAGCAGUGGGGAAUAUUGCACAAUGGGCGCAAGCCUGAUGCAGCCAUGCCGCGUGUAUGAAGAAGGCCUUCGGGUUGUAAAGUACUUUCAGCGGGGAGGAAGGCGGUGAGGUUAAUAACCUUGCCGAUUGACGUUACCCGCAGAAGAAGCACCGGCUAACUCCGUGCCAGCCGCCGCGGUAA
rnacentral:rRNA from 1 species